UGUAUUUUAUGUAUUAUUAUAUAUUUAAAAUACAUUUUAAAAUACUUUAAUUAAAUAUUUUAAAUAUUUAUUAAAAUUUAUUUUUUAAUAACAAAAUAUUAAUUGAGUCUCCAUAAUUGGCCUGUGUUAGAUGCUGGGGAUGCCUUGGUGAAAAAAUUAGAGCCACGCAAAGGAAGUCUUGUGUUCUUGAAAGAGGAAUCAGACAAAUACACAGAUGACUGGAUGCUGACAGUGAAGCUCUAGAGUGGCUUUCUCUGAAGAGGAGGGGAACCAUGGAAGCUGCAGGGUCGACUCUGACACCAUUAGUUUCCUAGACAGUGAAAGCUACUCCCAUAGUUGGCAACAGGUUGACAUGACAAUCAGCUUCAUUAUUUGAUAUUGCAUCCCCUAGGGAGAGUCCACGUUAUUUCUAAGAAGACAGGAGAGAAGGAGGGAGAAAAAACGUGCAGAUCAAAAGACCUCAGAAAAAAACAAAGUGGGAUGAAAUACUGGGCUUUAUUCUGUACAGCCUCAGCCUUUUCUAUCUUUGAUGAGUCGAAGUAUCCUUAUUUUUUU
rnacentral:lncRNA from 1 species